AGAGUUUGAUCCUGGCUCAAGAUGAACGCUGGCGGCAUGCCUAAUACAUGCAAGUCGAACGAGGGUCCUUCGGGACUCGAGUGGCGAACGGGUGAGUAACACGUAGGGAACCUGCCCGUGCGACCGGGAGAACUUUCGGAAACGGAAGCUGAUACCGGAUAGGGACAGAGACGGCAUCGACUCUGUGUUAAAGGAGCUGAAAGGCUCCGCGCACGGAUGGACCUGCGGUGCAUUAGCUGGUUGGUGAGGUAACGGCCCACCAAGGCGACGAUGCAUAGCCGGCCAGAGAGGGCGGACGGCCACACUGGGACUGAGACACGGCCCAGACUCCUACGGGAGGCAGCAGUAGGGAAUUUUCGUCAAUGGGCGCAAGCCUGAACGAGCAAUGCCGCGUGAACGAGGAAGGUCUUCGGAUCGUAAAGUUCUGUUGAAGGGGAAAAAGAGCGGAGAGAGGAAAUGGUCUCCGAUUGAUAUUACCCUUCGAGGAAGUCACGGCUAACUACGUGCCAGCAGCCGCGGUAAUACGUAGGUGGCGAGCGUUAUCCGGAAUGAUUGGGCGUAAAGGGUGCGUAGGCGGCCUGCUAAGUCUGGAGUGAAAGGUACCGGCUCAACCGGUACAGGCUCUGGAAACUGGCGGGCUAGAGAGCAGGAGAGGGCGGUGGAACUCCAUGUGUAGCGGUAAAAUGCGUAGAUAUAUGGAAGAACACCAGUGGCGAAGGCGGCCGCCUGGCCUGUUACUGACGCUGAGGCACGAAAGCGUGGGGAGCAAAUAGGAUUAGAUACCCUAGUAGUCCACGCCGUAAACGAUGAGGACCAAGUGUUGGGGAAGACCCAGUGCUGCAGUUAACGCAGUGAGUCCUCCGCCUGGGGAGUAUGCACGCAAGUGUGAAACUCAAAGGAAUUGACGGGGGCCCGCACAAGCGGUGGAGUAUGUGGUUUAAUUCGAAGCAACGCGAAGAACCUUACCAGGCCUUGACAUAGGGUGCGAAGCUAUGGAGACAUAGUGGAGGUAAACAUCCAUACAGGUGGUGCAUGGUUGUCGUCAGCUCGUGUCGUGAGAUGUUCAGUUAAGUCUGGCAACGAGCGCAACCCUCGUGAUGUGUUACCAAUAUCGAGUUAGGGACUCACAUCAGACUGCCGGUGAGAAACCGGAGGAAGGCGGGGAUGACGUCAAAUCAUCAUGCCCCUUAUGGCCUGGGCUACACACGUACUACAAUGGCGGCGACAGAGGGCAGCGAGCCUGCGAAGGCAAGCGAAUCCCCAAAAAGCCGUCCCAGUUCGGAUUGGAGUCUGCAACCCGACUCCAUGAAGUUGGAAUCGCUAGUAAUCGCGGAUCAGCAUGCCGCGGUGAAUACGUUCUCGGGCCUUGCACUCACCGCCCGUCAA
rnacentral:rRNA from 1 species